rnacentral:lncRNA from 1 species
CCUUCCAUAAAAAAGCCUUUAAAUUUGUUCAAGAAAGCUUUUCUUACCGUUGCAUGUAUCCUAUCUCCCUAUAAUAGAAAAUAAACAUGUAGUAUCUUUUAGUAAAAAUAAAGUAAGCGUAUGUUCAAUUUGAAAAUAAAAGUCGUAUCUUACAUUUUGAUCCGAAGGAACUAACUUUGGGCUAUUCAUCACUUCUGGACGAUGAAAUUCAGGCAUAGUAUAUAGACAAAUCACUAUGACUUUGAUCUUCCAUUUGUCUCCAAGAUGAGUGAAUGUCACGCAUAGAAUUAUACCCAAGUGCCAUAUCCUGAGAACAAUAAGACAUUCAAGAAAAAAUAUUAAUACUUGCUUCGUAUUUAAAUAAUAAAAUAAAAAUAAUAUGUUCUAUUUUAAAGCAUCAACAUUUAAGAACUAAGAAAAUUACAGGAGUGACAGUAGUAAAAAAAAAAUUACGAAAUAAAAAUUACAGAAGGAGUGAUUGUAGGGAAGUGGCAUGCAAUAUCUAUAUCUAUAUUACUUAUAAAGGCGUGAUUUUUAAAUUUUUUCCUCUUUCCAAAAAUGCCUCUAUCAUUUUUUACUAAUAUUUUUAUGUCCAGUAAUUUUCAACCAAUCAUUUCAAAUAAUUAACUAAGUAAUAAUUUAUUCCCAAAUAAAGAUAAAUAUU